rnacentral:rRNA from 1 species
UGGGGAAUAUUGGACAAUGGGCGAAAGCCUGAUCCAGCCAUGCCGCGUGUGUGAAGAAGGUCUUCGGAUUGUAAAGCACUUUAAGUUGGGAGGCGUUACCGACAGAAUAAGCACCGGCUAACUCUGUGCCAGCAGCCGCGGUAAUACAGAGGGUGCAAGCGUUAAUCGGAAUUACUGGGCGUAAAGCGCGCGUAGGUGGUUUGUUAAGUUGGAUGUGAAAGCCCCGGGCUCAACCUGGGAACUGCAUCCAAAACUGGCAGGCUAGAGUACGGUAGAGGGUGGUGGAAUUUCCUGUGUAGCGGUGAAAUGCGUAGAUAUAGGAAGGAACACCAGUGGCGAAGGCGACCACCUGGACUGAUACUGACACUGAGGUGCGAAAGCGUGGGGAGC